UACGUAGGCAGCAAGCGUUGUUCGGAGUUACUGGGCGUAAAGGGUGCGUAGGCGGCUUCUUAAGUUUGGUGUGAAAUCUCCCGGCUCAACUGGGAGGGUGCGCCGAAUACUGAGGGCUAGAGUGUGGGAGAGGAAAGUGGAAUUCCAGGUGUAGCGGUGAAAUGCGUAGAUAUGUGGAGGAAUACCGAUGGCGAAGGCAGCCUCCUGG
rnacentral:rRNA from 1 species